UGUAAGCACAGAUUGAUCCUGGCAGCUUUUAUUUUAUGUGAUUUCCAAGGAUCGGUCUAGAAAUGCUUCUUAAUUGAAAUAGUUCUCCUCCUUUGGCUUUUAUUUCAUUGUCCUUUCCUUCUUGACGUCUUGUACAUCACAUCAGAAGCUAUUUUAGACACAUGAAAUGACAGCUUUCUCAGAGCCGACCGUGGAUCCUGAUAGACCUUCAAGCAGGCAAGUUGCUGGCGCCAGCUUCACGGAAGCAUUCCCUGCACGAUGGACGAGCCACCUAGAAACACAACCUAAACUUAUGUCUCCCAGGCCUCAGACCUUAACCUGAUGAUGAAUGCUGGUAGAUGACUCUGUGCGGGACUACAUCCUACCAAGAUGGUGAAGGCAUGGCCGCUGGGGAGUUCUGGUCUAUGAUGGUGAAUAAGUCCUACCACAAUGGUGGAGGCAUGGCAGCUGGGGUGUGGUGGGGAAUAAGUCCUACCACGGCGGUGAAGUCGCGGUAGCCGGGGUGUGGUGGUCUGUGAUAGUCUGCACUUCAGAGCUCAUCAGACUAGGAAGCUGGGAAAACUAUGAUUUGAACUAGAAGAGGAAACCACCUUCAAGCUUGCCCCUAGAAGCCUACUAGGAAGACCACAUUUCUUAAAUCCCCAAAGCAUGACCACCAGCUGGGGGACCAAGGGUUUAAGCUCUUGAGCUUGUG